rnacentral:rRNA from 1 species
AGCAGCCGCGGUAAUUCCAGCUCCAAUAGCGUAUAUUAAAGUUGUUGCAGUUAAAAAGCUCGUAGUUGAAUUUCGGGGUCAAUAAGUUGGUCAUGCCAAUGGUAUGCACUGGCUUUAUUGAUUCCUACCUCUUGACGAACUGUGAUGCCAUUAAUUUGGUGUUGCAAGGAAUCAGGACUGUUACCUUGAAAAAAUUAGAGUGUUUAAAGCAAGCUAACGCUUGAAUACAUUAGCAUGGAAUAAUGAAAUAGGACGUUUGAUCCUAUUUUGUUGGUUUCUAGGAUCGACGUAAUGAUUAAUAGGGAUAGUUGGGGGCAUUAGUAUUCAAUUGUCAGAGGUGAAAUUCUUGGAUUUAUUGAAGACUAACUACUGCGAAAGCAUUUGCCAAGGAUGUUUUCAUUAAUCAAGAACGAAAGUUAGGGGAUCGAGGACGAUCAGAUACCGUCGUAGUCUUAACCAUAAACUAUGCCGACUAGGGAUCGGAUGAUGUUAAUUUUUUAAUGACUCA